CCUACGGGAGGCAGCAGUGGGGAAUAUUGGACAAUGGGCGAAAGCCUGAUCCAGCAAUGCCGCGUGAGUGAUGAAGGCCUUAGGGUUGUAAAGCUCUUUUACCAGGGAUGAUAAUGACAGUACCUGGAGAAUAAGCUCCGGCUAACUCCGUGCCAGCAGCCGCGGUAAUACGGAGGGAGCUAGCGUUGUUCGGAAUUACUGGGCGUAAAGCGUGCGUAGGCGGCUAUUCAAGUCAGAGGUGAAAGCCCGGGGCUCAACCCCGGAACGGCCUUUGAAACUAGGUAGCUAGAAUCUUGGAGAGGUUAGUGGAAUUCCGAGUGUAGAGGUGAAAUUCGUAGAUAUUCGGAAGAACACCAGUGGCGAAGGCGACUAACUGGACAAGUAUUGACGCUGAGGUACGAAAGCGUGGGGAGCAAACAGGAUUAGAUACCCUGGUAGUCCACGCCGUAAACGAUGAUAACUAGCUGUCCGGGCACUUGGUGCUUGGGUGGCGCAGCUAACGCAUUAAGUUAUCCGCCUGGGGAGUACGGUCGCAAGNUUAAAACCUUAAGGAAUUGACGG
rnacentral:rRNA from 1 species